rnacentral:rRNA from 1 species
GACGAACGCUGGCGGCGUGCUUAACACAUGCAAGUCGAACGGUAAGGCCCUUCGGGGUACACGAGUGGCGAACGGGGGAGUAAGACGAGGGUGAUAUGCCCUGCACUUCGGGAUAAGCCUGGGAAACUGGGUCGAAUACCGGAUAGGACUCCUGGCUUCAUGGAUGGGGGUGGAAAGCUUUUGCGGUUUGGGAUGGUCCCGCGGCCUAUCGGCUUGUUGGUGGGGUAAUGGCCUACCAAGGCGACGACGGGUAGCCGGCCUGAGAGGGUGACCGGUAACACUGGGACUGAGAUACGGGCCAGACUCCUACGGGAGGCAGCAGUGGGGAAUAUUGCACAAUGGGCGCAAGCCUGAUGCAGCGACGCCGCGUGAGGGAUGACGGCCUUCGGGUUGUAAACCUCUUUCAGCUAUGACGAAGCGCAAGUGACGGUAGUAGCAGAAGAAGGACCGGCCAACUACGUGCCAGCAGCCGCCGUAA